ACCCCACAAAAAAACUGGUAUUAAUUUGUUCUCAAAAAGUAGGAGCAUUUACGCCAUGUCCAUUAUAAAAGGCUCGCCAUUUCAUCUCUUCUCCCUCAAAAGUCACAACUCACCAUUCCGCCAACAACAAGACUACAAAUUCCUCUAUCAGUAUCAACACAUCAUCUAGCUAAAGAUGAGGGCCACCCUAACGCUGCUUCUACCUCUCGCAUUCCUCCUCCUCGUGCUAGCACCAGCUAAGGCGAGUUAUUAUGAUUGUACAAGCCAUAUCGUUGGGUGCAAGGACAAACCUGAGCCGCCUUGUCCGUGCGACCGUGCAGAGUGUAGCUUCGACAGCCGUGUAGCGUACGCUCAGCUUGGGUGCCCGAAAGAUGCGACCAGCUGCUCUUGGACAGGACAGUGCAUGAAUCAGGGGUGCAACUUCACCUACUGCGUAUAUAGAUGAGAUAGGCGGGCAUGUCAACCUGAUAGAAUAAUAAAGAUGAUAUCAUGGAUGGCAAUGCAGUAUGUAGUUCUGUUCGCUGCAAACUGAUGUACCUGACUGGUGAAUUAUUUACAUGCCUACCAUGGAUAUGUCUCGUUUUUCAUAUUAUCCCAAAAUAAAAAGUGUUUACUUUAGAGUCAAUUA